UACGGAGGGUGCGAGCGUUAAUCGGAAUAACUGGGCGUAAAGGGCGCGCAGGCGGGCUUUUAAGUCAGAUGUGAAAUCCCCGGGCUCAACCUUGGAAUUGCAUUUGAGACUGGGAGUCUAGAGUACUGUAGGGGGGAGUGGAAUUCCACGUGUAGCGGUGAAAUGCGUAGAUAUGUGGAGGAACACCAGUGGCGAAGGCAGCUCCCUGGACUUGUACUGACACUGAUGUGCGAAAGCGUGGGGAGCAAACAGG
rnacentral:rRNA from 1 species